CGGGAAGUCAGAAUGCCUGCAGAAUUAUUGAGAUGAAUACUUCAGAUUGUCCCGAGGAGAGACACUUCGCAGAGACAGCUCAUGCAAAGGAGCCAUGCAAAUUGGGCUGAUAAAUAUUUAGCAGGAGGGGAAGGCAACAAAAAGUGGUUGUGUUCUGCCUCCAGGAUGCUGCAGCAGCGCGUGGUGCACACGGGCUCAGAGCACAUCGGGAGCACUGCUGGGGAUGCUCCGGGCUGCAGAGAGCUGCACAGCAGCGCUGCCUGUUGCUGUGUCACACCACAGGUGGGAGGCAAACUGGAUUUACGGUUUGGAGAACCCAGAGUGAGAUGGAUGGGGCAAGAGAAGAACCAGACCGUUUCCUCCCCACUGGUACCUCCCUCUGAAUUCACACAGAGCACCUCCCGUGCUGAUAAAUAGGAGCAAUGUGCUUCCAGCCCGGCGGCUGCAGCAUCCAUCAGAAUUACGGCGCUGCCGGAAGGCUGCAGAGCACAGCGCUGACAGAGCCGUGAUGAUGGAUGGGACAGGAGGGCACUUUGUUUGGGAGAGAUGGGAGAAGUGAGAGAUGUUAAACGGCAAUAACCCCUUGAUGAAGUAUUUCUCCAUGUCAGGCACCAGUAAAUGAUGGCGGCUGUAUCCAGCCUUGAUUGUUUCGUGUCUAUUUGCGACCCUCCAUUAAAAAACGUGCAUGCUGCCUAAUUCAGCAGCCCUCCCCAUAUAUUACCUGUGUGGUCGAUGUAUCACACAGAUGCCUCUGAUAAUGAAAUUAUAAGCAGAAGGAGAUCACAUUUUAAUAGAAAUCCUAUCAGGCAACGUGCCCCACCAAAAUCCCGCUAACACAGCAAACGGUGCAGGGGAGUCAACUCCUCCUAUGGGGCCGCCUACCUGGGAAACACAGCAGCCCCACUCAGUGCCACUCCUCCCCCUGCCCUGCAGCAGCCCCACAGCUGCACAGCCAAAUUCCACUUUCGAGGGCUCGUGCUUUCCUGCUACCUCCAAAUCCAGGUCAUUUUCAUGGAAAGUUUUGCUGCAAUGCAUGCAUUCUUUCGAAGCCGAUCUGGGUCCAUUUUCCAAUUUUCCAUUGAAAAUUUGAGCUGCUUUUCAAACAAGGCCCAUUUCCAAGCGAAUACGGGCUUGGCUUUGGUCUGCUUUCCAAGAGAAAAAGGGGAUUUUUGCCUCCAGAACAUGCCAAAUGUUUGCCUUUUCAAGUCUUUUUCUUUCUGUGUGAAAACUGCAGCUUCAUUGAAGCUGGUGGAAGCGGGGAGUGAAAAUCCUCACCCUGGGCUCUGUGAAAGAGGAGCCACGAGUGCACUGAGAUGCUUCCCUGGUGAUAUUGGCUCCAGUGAAUGGCCACCAGGACAUGGGCACAAGGAUAUAGCCACAAGGAUAUGACCACCAGGACAUGGGCACCAGGAUACGACCACCAGGAUAUGACCACCAGCACAUAGCAUAUCCACAGCAGUGGCUCUGGGACACCCAAUGCCAACCAUCCCCAGGAGAUCCCCGAAGUUGUGUCAGGCUGAAGGAGCAG
ensembl:lncRNA